UCGCUAUUUAGCUACAGGCAGUGUCAGUGUGCUUCAAUUCACUCCUGCUUUUUCCUUGGCAGACCACAAGCUGCAGAUUCUUACUACCUACAGAGUCUGGAACAGAGGGAGGGUUGUGCUGCAGGCCUGGAGACAGCUGGGAUAAUUAGAGCACCUGAAGAUCCUGAUAGGGUCUUCAAAGUUUUAAGUGCCACUGGCAUGAAAAAGCCCUUCAUUUCUAGCAUGUUGUUGAAGCACUAUAAAGAUGAGAACUCUUCACUUCUGCCAGGAAAGUUUGCUGAUGGGUUGAAUGUCUUGAGGAUGAAAAGGUAUAACCCUCUUUUUCUUUAAGGCUUCAAUGAAGAAAUUAAUGCUAAGUCAAGAGGGGUUUACAAAAUUGACAAAGUGCAUGAAAGAAAGAUUAAAGAAAUUUCUUGUGAAAAAAAUGUACAUUUUUAGGUAGGAAAAGGCUUGACUAUUCUAUUUGUCCUUGCUGUUUAUUCUCUAAGUUAACAUAGUAC
rnacentral:lncRNA from 1 species